rnacentral:lncRNA from 1 species
CAUAUUGUUGUGACGGAGAUUUUAUGUUUUUUUGUUGUAAUGUUAACUUCAAAUGGAGGUCACUUGUUAAGAUGGUAUUAUGGUUGUCUUCGGUGGUUUCUAAAUUGAAAGACAUGGUGUUGUUUUGCCUCCUCUCGUUUGCUCAGUUCUCCUACGGUUCUUGUAGGUAGAAUGAUGUCUGGACAUCUGGGGACUACAUGUCGUUGUUGUGGACUGGCUUGGCAGCGAGGGUGGGACUCGCGCCUUCUUACCCUUUU